UACGGGAGGCAGCAGUGGGGAAUAUCGCGCAAUGGGGGAAACCCUGACGCAGCAACGCCGCGUGAAGGAUGAAGGUUUUCGGAUUGUAAACUUCUUUGACGAGGGACGAAAGAAAUGACGGUACCUCGAAAACAAGCUCCGGCUAACUACGUGCCAGCAGCCGCGGUAAUACGUAGGGAGCAAGCGUUGUCCGGAUUUACUGGGUGUAAAGGGCGAGUAGGCGGGAUUGCAAGUCAGAUGUGAAAUCUAUCGGCUUAACUGAUAGACUGCAUUUGAAACUGCGGUUCUUGAGUGAUGGAGAGGCAGGCGGAAUUCCUAGUGUAGCGGUGAAAUGCGUAGAUAUUAGGAGGAACACCAGUGGCGAAGGCGGCCUGCUGGACAUUAACUGACGCUGAGGCGCGAAAGCGUGGGGAGCAAACAGGAUUAGAUACCCUGGUAGUCCACGCUGUAAACGAUGGAUACUAGGUGUGGGGGGUACUGACCCCUUCCGUGCCGGAGUUAACACAAUAAGUAUCCCACCUGGGGAGUACGGCCGCAAGGUUGAAACUCAAAUGAAUUGACGG
rnacentral:rRNA from 1 species